AAAGCCCCUGGAAGCGCUAGGUGUGGCUGCUGUGUCACAUGCACAUCAGUAAGUGGCAGAGAGGAGAGAGGCUGUGUCUAUGCUCAGUGUUCUGAGCUGUGACCAUCUAAAUGACUAACACUCUCUGAAA